rnacentral:rRNA from 1 species
UCCAGACUCCUACGGGAGGCAGCAGUGGGGGAUAUUGCACAAUGGGGGGAACCCUGAUGCAGCGACGCCGCGUGGGUGAAGGAGUAUUUCGGUAUGUAAAGCCCUAUCGGCAGGGAAGAAGCAAGACGGUACCUGACUAAGAAGCCCCGGCUAACUACGUGCCAGCAGCCGCGGUAAUACGUAGGGGGCGAGCGUUAUCCGGAUUCACUGGGUGUAAAGGGAGCGUAGACGGCCAUGCAAGCCAGGGGUGAAAGCCCGGGGCCCAACCCCGGGACUGCCCUUGGAACUGCAUGGCUGGAGUGCGGGAGGGGCAGGCGGAAUUCCUAGUGUAGCGGUGAAAUGCGUAGAUAUUAGGAGGAACACCGGCGGCGAAGGCGGCCUGCUGGACCGUAACUGACGUUGAGGCUCGAAAGCGUGGGGAGCAAACAGGAUUAGAUACCCCUGUAAC